AAAGUCGUAACAAGGUCUCCGUUGGUGAACCAGCGGAGGGAUCAUUAAAGAGUUGCAAAACUCCCAACCAUUGUGAACUUACCAUUCUGUUGCUUCGGCUGGUGGCUUCCUUAGGGACCGCGCCUACCCCCCAAGGGGCGGGCAGCCUGCCGGAGGUGUUUAAAAUCUUUAUUUCAGUUGGCCUCUCUGAGUAACUUAUACAAUAAGUCAAAACUUUCAACAACGGAUCUCUUGGUUCUG
rnacentral:misc_RNA from 1 species